rnacentral:rRNA from 1 species
UGAGGAAUAUUGGUCAAUGGGCGCAAGCCUGAACCAGCCAAGUAGCGUGCAGGAAGACGGCCCUAUGGGUUGUAAACUGCUUUUAUACGAGAAUAAAUUGAUGCACGUGUGCGUUAUUGCAUGUAUCGUAUGAAUAAGGACCGGCUAAUUCCGUGCCAGCAGCCGCGGUAAUACGGAAGGUCCAGGCGUUAUCCGGAUUUAUUGGGUUUAAAGGGAGUGUAGGCGGUUUGUUAAGCGUGUUGUGAAAUUUAGGUGCUCAACAUUUAACUUGCAGCGCGAACUGUCAGACUUGAGUACACGCAACGUAUGCGGAAUUCAUGGUGUAGCGGUGAAAUGCUUAGAUAUCAUGAAGAACUCCGAUUGCGAAGGCAGCAUACGGGAGUGUAACUGACGCUUAAGCUCGAAGGUGCGGGUAUCGAACAGGAUUAGAUACCCUGGUAGUCCGCACAGUAAACGAUGGAUGCCCGCUGUUAGCGCCUGGCGUUAGCGGCUAAGCGAAAGCAUUAAGCAUCCCACCUGGGGAGUACGCCGGCAACGGUG